UUGAUCUUAGGCAUUCAGACUGGUGUGAGGUGGAAUCUCAGGGUUGUUUUGAUUUGCAUUUCCCUUAUAACUAACGAUGUUGAACAUUUCUUUUGGUGCAUCUCAGCCACUCCAUAUUCCUCAGCUGUGAAUUCUUUGUUUAGCUCUGAACUGCAAUUUUUAUUAGGGUUAUUAGUCUCCCUAGAGUCCAACUUCAUGAGUUCUUUGUAUAUUUUGGAUAUUAGCCCUCUAUCAGUUGUAGGAUUAGUAAAGGUCUUUUCCCAAUCUGUUUGUUGCUUUUUAGUCUUAACCACAGUGUCCUUUGCCUUACAGAAGCUUUGUACCUUUAUGAGGUCCCAUCUGUCUACUCUUGAUCAUAGAGCAUAAGCCAUUCAUGUUUUGUUCAGGAAAAUUUUUCCAGUGUCCUUGUGUUCAAGAUUCUUCCCCACUUUUGCUUCUCUUCGUUUGAGUGUAUCUGGUUUGAUGUAGAGGUCCUUGAUCCACCUGGACUUAAGCUUUGUCCAGGGCAAUAAGCAGGGGAUGAUUUGGACUCUUCCAUAUGCUGACCUCCAGUGGAACUGGCACCAUUUGCUGAAAAAGUAUAUUUUUUCCACUGGAUGUUUUUGUCUCCUUUGUCAAAAAUCAAGUGAUCAUAGAUAGGUGUGUGGGUUCAUUUCUGUGUCUGCAAUUGUAUUCCACUGGUAUAUCUUCCUGUCUCUGUACCAAUACCAUACAGUUUUUAUCACCAUUGCUCUGUAAUACUGCUUGAGUUCAGGGAUGGUGAUUCCCAGGGAAGUCCUUUAUUGUUGGGGAUAGUUUUAGCGAUCCUCUGUUCUUUUGUUAUUCCAAGUGAAUUUGCAAAUUGUUCUGUCUAACCCUAUGAAGAAUUGGAUUGGAAUUUUGAUGGGGAUUGCAUUGAAUCUGUAGGUCACUUUGGGUAAAAUGGCCAUUUUUACUAUCUUCAUCCUGACAAGCCAUGAGCAUGGAAGAUCUUUCCAUUUUCUGAGAUCUUCUUCAAUUUCUUUCUUCAGAUCAUGAAGUUCUUAUCACACAGAUCUUUCACUUGUUUGAUAAAAGUCACACUGUGGUAUUUUUAUAUUAUUUGGGACUGUUAUGAAAGGUGUCAUUUCCCUAAUUUCUUUCUCAGCUUCUUUAUCUUUUGUGUAGAGGAAGGCUACUGAUUUGUUUGAGUUAAUAUUAUACCCAGGCACUUGCUGAAGUUGUUUAUC
rnacentral:lncRNA from 1 species